GAUGCGCUGUACGACGAACGACCAAUGUGAUUUUAUCUACUCCAAAAUGUGUUAUUUUGCAGUUAAAUAGUUUGGAAACUAGUGUUAAGUGUUAAAAUAUAGUGUUACCAUCUUCUGGUAUUAUAGUUUAGUGGUAAAAUUUGCGGAAAAUCAAUUAAAUAGUUAAAAUAUCGAAUGUGUUUGUAUCGUCCGCCAUUACGCUCGUUGGCGACGCGCCGUUUGUAGAGAUCGAUAGCCCUAUAUCUAUCUCUGUCACUCUUAUGGUAAUAAAAUGGCGCCAAUACCUACAACAAAAGCUGAAGAAGACCGACGGCACAUUAUCAAGAAAGAACAGAAAUAUUUGGCGUUAUUACAUUAUGCCUACUGAUUGGUGGUGAAAUCACAAGAUUUAAAACUAAGUUCAUUCAAGGAAACAACAACAAAUAUCUAAGAAACAGUUGUAACUGCUUAAAAGUACAAUUUCCAUUUCAAACCACGCCGAUACAUGUUCAUUGUGUCGAAAUAAACAAAAGAAGAAGAAAUAACACCAAACAAAAUUGAAAACAAGCCAUUGUUAUGUUAUACGGAGGUUGUACGAGAAAAAGGCAAUCUACAUGGAGGGUUCGUACCGGACGACUCAAGAUGAGGAAAUAAGAAUUCAUCCUUUCUCGCCCCGGGUGGGAUUGGUUCGGGCCGAGGGGGGGUUGCAAGACGGACGACGCCAUUCCAAAAACCCAUUAUACGAGCACCAGAGCUGUUUUCUAUCUCAGAAAGGAACCCGUACCACCCCCUCGCCUCACCGCCCCCUUCUUCAGGGAUCCUCAACUUUGUUUAUGAAAAUUACCCAUUAAAGUGGCUAUGAAAGUAACGCUUUUGCCACUCCCGAAAUUAAUAAGGAAAUUGAUAUAGAUUAUUUUUAGGUCGCAUUUGGUGCCCGUAUUCGAGACGAUCAAUAGUCAUUGUUUUGUGAUAUUACGAGUAUUAUGUUGGCUUGUUUAAUAUGUAAAGAGUUUUAUAAAAAAAAAAUGUAGUGCAAUGUUUCUCACGGUUAGUUAGUUUUGGUGAUUGACGUCAGCAUUAUUUUAAUGUUAAUUUUUGCUGUAGUAGCGUCUGGUACUAACAUGUAUGAUUUUGUUUAAUGUCUUUUUGUUAUAUC